rnacentral:rRNA from 1 species
CCUACGGGAGGCAGCAGUGGGGAAUAUUGCUCAAUGGGGGAAACCCUGAUGCAGCGACGCCGCGUGAAGGAAGAAGUCUUUCGGUAUGUAAACUUCUAUCAGCAGGGAAGAAAAUGACGGUACCUGACUCCGAUGCCCCGGCUAACUACGUGCCAGCAGCCGCGGUAAGACGUAGGGGGCAAGCGUUAUCCGGAUUUACUGGGUGUAAAGGGAGCGUAGGCGGUUUAGCAAGUCAGAAGUGAAAGCCCGGGGCUCAACUCCGGGACUGCUUUUGAAACUGUUGAACUAGAUUGCAGGAGAGGUAAGUGGAAUUCGUGGUGUAGCGGUGAAAUGCGUAGAUAUUAGGAAGAACACCAGUGGCGAAGGCGGCUUACUGGACGGAGAAUGACGCUGAGGCUCGAAAGCGUGGGGAGCAAACAGGAUUAGAUACCCGAGUAGUC